rnacentral:rRNA from 1 species
UACAGAGGUCUCAAGCGUUGUUCGGAUUCAUUGGGCGUAAAGGGUGCGUAGGUGGCGCGCUAAGUCAGGUGUGAAAUUUCGGGAGCUUAACUCCGAAACUGCAUUUGAUACUGGCGUGCUUGAGGACUGGAGAGGAGACUGGAAUUCACGGUGUAGCAGUGAAAUGCGUAGAUAUCGUGAGGAAGACCAGUGGCGAAGGCGGGUCUCUGGACAGUUCCCUGACGCUGAGGGCACGAAGGUCAGGGGAGGCAAACGGG